rnacentral:rRNA from 1 species
GGAUGAACGCUGGCGGCGUGCCUAAUACAUGCAAGUCGAGCGAACAGACGAGGAGCUUGCUCCUCUGACGUUAGCGGCGGACGGGUGAGUAACACGUGGAUAACCUACCUAUAAGACUGGGAUAACUUCGGGAAACCGGAGCUAAUACCGGAUAAUAUAUUGAACCGCAUGGUUCAAUAGUGAAAGACGGUUUUGCUGUCACUUAUAGAUGGAUCCGCGCCGCAUUAGCUAGUUGAUAAGGUAACGGCUUACCAAGGCAACGAUGCGUAGCCGACCUGAGAGGGUGAUCGGCCACACUGGAACUGAGACACGGUCCAGACUCCUACGGGAGGCAGCAGUAGGGAAUCUUCCGCAAUGGGCGAAAGCCUGACGGAGCAACGCCGCGUGAGUGAUGAAGGUCUUCGGAUCGUAAAACUCUGUUAUUAGGGAAGAACAAAUGUGUAAGUAACUAUGCACGUCUUGACGGUACCUAAUCAGAAAGCCACGGCUAACUACGUG